UCUAGUUCAAGAAAGUUAGCCUGUGAUUUGGUAGUUGUGUAAUGUGUUGUGGUUGCAGUUUUUAGCUCAUGAACUCAACAGUAGAGUAUGUGCUUUAAGAGAUUGUUCAUUCCUCGCAGGCCUGGAUUGCAAAUGUGCUUAGAAGGCUGUGCCUCAUGGGGACUUAGAAAUAUAAGUAACUUAUUUAGUGAGGGGUGGUUAAGGAAAAGUCUUUGUGUUCUUAAUUUAGGCUUUCCCCUCAUGCCAGGGUACUGUUACCACUGUAGUAAAACUUAAUGAUGCAACUCCACACACACUUCAUAGAGGUACUAGCACAUGAUCAACCCCUAUAUUUGCCUUUAGACUUUCAACACUUUCUCAAUAUUAUUCUGUCCAAAUUGGGAUGUUACAGCCUGCAUUGGAGGACAAUAAUAUGGGUAAAAACUUUAGGACUGAGGGUUUGGCAAUGAUGUUGCGUGGUGUAAUGUCACUGGAAAGUGUGUGAUCUUCACAAAGGAUUAGCAGAAUCAAAUAAAUUACAAAACAUUUUUCUCCAGUUCCAGCAUCAUCUGAAAUAAAUAGCUCAAGAAGUUUAUACUUCAGUAUGUGUAUUCACUUCAGGCUCUUGCUGCCUGCAAGUUAAGUGAGGCUUGAAACUUGUUUACUUCCUGGUGAAAGCAUUCCCACUGUGAAAGUGACAAAACACUGUGACUUUCUAACUUUCAGUUUGUCCCUCUAGUGGUGAAAGAAGUUCACCCCAUGAAUCUUUUUUAAAAAAUGAUGCUUAAUAAAGCUUCAGUGCAAGAA